rnacentral:rRNA from 1 species
UACGAAGGGUGCAAGCGUUAAUCGGAAUUACUGGGCGUAAAGCGUGCGUAGGCGGUUUCUUAAGUCUGCUGUGAAAUCCCCGGGCUCAACCUGGGAAUGGCGAUGGAUACUGGCGAGCUAGAGUGUGUCAGAGGAUGGUGGAAUUCCCGGUGUAGCGGUGAAAUGCGUAGAGAUCGGGAGGAACAUCAGUGGCGAAGGCGGCCAUCUGGGACAACACUGACGCUGAAGCACGAAAGCGUGGGGAGCAAACGGG